GCAGUGCACGCUCCUUGCGCGUCUGGCCGGCAGCACGGGAAGAGUUCGAAGCAAGAAAGCCUGAGGUGACAUCCUUUGCACAGGUGCGGCCAAGCGAUAUCGCAAACUUCAUGGAGGCCUUCAGCACGUUCAACUCUCAUCCGUGCAUCAACUGCACCUACUACGGGAACAUCUUCCACUCCCAGCUCCAUUCUGCGUGAGCCCGACGUGAGAUAAAUAUGCUCGAAAAAAAAAUUGACUACAAAAACAACUGAAAUAAAAAAAAUAUUCGAACAAAAUG